UUGAAGUCACUUAUCAUUCUGAUGGCCUGCUUCUUCAUCAGAAGAAGUUUAUUGCUGAUCUUUUCAAAGCCUAUCAUUGUGAGGAGGUUACACCUGUUACCUGUCCUCUUGACCUUUCUGUCAAGCUCAAACUGGAUGAAGGUGAUCCUCUUCCAUCUCCUGAAUCCUAUAGGAGCCUGGUGGGGAAACUCAAUUUUCUCACUCACACUAGACCUGAUUUGGCCUUUGCUGUGCAACAUCUAUGAAUCUUACAGAAGCCUGGUGGGGAAACUCAAUUUUCUCACUCACACUAGACCUGAUUUGGCCUUUGUUGUGCAACACCUCAGUCAAUACCUUCAGAGGCCUUCUUCAUCUCACAUGCAUGCUGCCUUGCACCUCCUCAGGUAUCUUAGAGGUUCCUCUGAUGUUAGGGUUUUCAUCAGAAACAGCCCUGAUCUCUCCUUGUCUGCUUUUUGUGAUAGUGACUGGGCUUCCUCCCCGAUACAAGGAGGUCUGUCUCUGGGUUUUGUAUUUUAUUAGGUGGUUCUCUUAUCGGUUGGAAGGCUAAGAAGCAGCCUGUGGUGUCUCUUUCUUCUGCUGAGGCUGAGUACAUGACCAUCAGUAAGGUUGUUGGUGAGCUCACUUGGCAUGUUUGACUUUUAUCUGAUUUUGGUGUUUUUGUUCCCUCUGUUGUUCCUGUUUUCUGUGAAAAUGAGGCAACCCUUCAUAUUGCCAAGAAUCCUGUGUUCCUUGAGCGCACCAAACACAUUGAAGUGGAUUGCCACUUCAUCAGAAUCAAGCUUCAGGAAGGCCUUAUUGCUUUGCAUCAUGUUCCCACUGCCUCUCAGCUUGCUGAUAUCUUUACUAAGCCAUUGACUGGGAUUCUGUAUCACUCCAUACUGCUCAAGCUGGGGGUUCAAUCACCCUCCACCUUGAAGGGGGGUGUUAGAGUUAUUGCUGAGCAGCCCACACAGCCCAAGUCAGCAAAGCAGCCCAACUGACCAUCUGGCCCAACUGGCCCGUUACAUUAUUCUGUAUCUGGCCC
rnacentral:lncRNA from 1 species